AGUGAACGCUGGCGGUAGGCCUAACACAUGCAAGUCGAACGGCAGCACAGUAAGAGCUUGCUCUUACGGGUGGCGAGUGGCGGACGGGUGAGGCAUACAUCGGAAUCUACUUUUUCGUGGGGGAUAACGUAGGGAAACUUACGCUAAUACCGCAUACGACCUACGGGUGAAAGCAGGGGAUCUUCGGACCUUGCGCGAUUGAAUGAGCCGAUGUCGGAUUAGCUAGUUGGCGGGGUAAAGGCCCACCAAGGCGACGAUCCGUAGCUGGUCUGAGAGGAUGAUCAGCCACACUGGAACUGAGACACGGUCCAGACUCCUACGGGAGGCAGCAGUGGGGAAUAUUGGACAAUGGGCGCAAGCCUGAUCCAGCCAUACCGCGUGAGUGAAGAAGGCCUUCGGGUUGUAAAGCCCUUUUGUUGGGAAAGAAAAUCAGCAUGUUAAUACCCCGCUGUUCUGACGGUACCCAAAAAAUAAGCACCGGCUAACUUCGUG
rnacentral:rRNA from 1 species